rnacentral:rRNA from 1 species
AGAAUCAACGCUGGCGGCGUGCCUAACACAUGCAAGUCGAACGAGAAAGUGGAGCAAUCCAUGAGUAAAGUGGCGCACGGGUGAGUAACACGUGACUAACCUACCCUUGAGUGGGGGAUAAACCUAGGGAAACCUGGGCUAAUACCGCAUAAUACCUUCGGGUCAAAGGAGCAAUUCGCUUAAGGAGGGGUCGCGGCCGAUUAGUUAGUUGGCGGGGUAAUGGCCCACCAAGACUAUGAUCGGUA